AUUCUGGUUGAUCCUGCCAGAGGUCAUUGCUAUUGGAGUUCGAUUUAGCCAUGCUAGUUGCACGAGUUUAGACUCGUGGCGGAAAGCUCAGUAACACGUGAUCAAACUACCCUAUGGAUUCGAAUAACCUCGGGAAACUGAGGCUAAUUCGGAAUAAGGCUCCAUCGCUGGAAUGCGUGGAGCUGGAAACGCUCCGGUGCCAUAGGAUGUGAUUGCGGCCGAUUAGGUAGACGGUGGGGUAACGGCCCACCGUGCCGAUAAUCGGUACGGGUUGUGAGAGCAAGAGCCCGGAGAUGGAUUCUGAGACAAGAAUCCAGGCCCUACGGGGCGCAGCAGGCGCGAAAACUUUACACUGCACGACAGUGCGAUAAGGGAACUCCAAGUGCGAGGGCAUAACGUCCUCGCUUUUGUGUAUCGUAAGGUGGUACACGAAUAAGAGCUGGGCAAGACCGGUGCCAGCCGCCGCGGUAAUACCGGCAGCUCAAGUGAUGACCAAUUUUAUUGGGCCUAAAGCGUCCGUAGCCGGCCAGACAGGUCCGUCGGGAAAUCUGCUCGCUCAACGAGCAGGCGUCCGGCGGAAACCCGCUGGCUUGGGGCCGGAAGAUCCAAGGGGUACGUCUGGGGUAGGAGUGAAAUCCUGUAAUCCUAGACGGACCACCGAUCGCGAAAGCACCUUGGAAGGACGGACCCGACGGUGAGGGACGAAAGCUAGGGUCACGAACCGGAUUAGAUACCCGGGUAGUCCUAGCUGUAAACGAUGCUCGCUAGGUGUGGCACAGGCUACGAGCCUGUGCUGUGCCACAGUGAAGACGUAAGCGAGCCGCCUGGGAAGUACGUCCGCAAGGAUGAAACUUAAAGGAAUUGGCGGGGGAGCACUACAACCGGAGGAGCCUGCGGUUUAAUUGGACUCAACGCCGGACAUCUCACCAGCAUCGACAAUAGCUGUGACAGUCAGUGUGAUGAGCUUACUAGAGCUUUUGAGAGGAGGUGCAUGGCCGCCGUCAGCUCGUACCGUGAGGCGUCCUGUUAAGUCAGGCAACGAGCGAGACCCGCACUCCUAAUUGCCAGCAGCACCCUUGUGGUGGCUGGGUACAUUAGGAGGACUGCCGCUGCCAAAGCGGAGGAAGGAACGGGCAACGGUAGGUCAGCAUGCCCCGAAUGUGCUGGGCUACACGCGGGCUACAAUGGUCGAGACAAUGGGUUGCAACCCCGAGAGGGGGCGCUAAUCUCCGAAACUCGAUCGUAGUUCGGAUUGAGGACUGAAACUCGUCCUCAUGAAGCUGGAUUCGGUAGUAAUCGCGCUUCAGCAGAGCGCGGUGAAUACGUCCCUGCUCCUUGCACACACCGCCCGUCAAAGCACCCGAGUGAGGUCCGGAUGAGGCCAUCAGGCGAUGGUCGAAUCUGGGCUUCGCAAGGGGGCUUAAGUCGUAACAAGGUAGCCGUAGGGGAAUCUGCGGCUGGAUCACCUCCUAAAGACCGG
rnacentral:rRNA from 1 species